UAAGGAACAAUCCAAUGCAGGCGAGUUCUAAGGUCAUUUGUCACUGGAAAACUAAUAAAGAAAGAAAAAAAGGAAGCAAUGAAGGAAGCCAUGGCAAC